GUGUCAGCAGCCGCGGUAAUACAGGGGGUGCUAGCGUUGUUCGGAAUUACUGGGCGUAAAGGGCGCGUAGGCUGCUUCGUAAGUCAGAUGUGAAAUCCCCGGGCUUAACUCGGGACGUGCAUUUGAAACUGCGAGGCUAGAGUGCAGUAGAGGAUGGUGGAAUUCCCAGUGUAGAGGUGAAAUUCGUAGAUAUUGGGAGGAACACCGGUGGCGAAGGCGGCCAUCUGGGCUGUAACUGACGCUGAGGCGCAAAAGCGUGGGGAUCAAACAGGAUUAGAUACCCCGGUAGUCC
rnacentral:rRNA from 1 species